AGAUAAAGAUCAAUAACUCCGAUCUUAAAUUGAAGGAUCCGAUCAUCCAUUUUUAGGAUGUCGUUCGAUUUUGACCGUUCAUUUUACACCCGCUUAAUUUUUUUUCCAAUAUCUCUUCCCUUUCUCAUUCUAACAACCGAUCAAAUUUGAUGGGUAGUUAGAAAGUUAGGAGCACAAAGACUGCUGUGCUCCUAAUAACACAGUAUAUAUAUAUAUAUAUAGCUAUUCUUCUAUAUUAUCUAUAGUACCGGGGCUCCGGUACUAUAGUCUCGUUUUCGAUUUUAGGGUGUUCAAAUCAACGAUCCACACUGUUAAAACUGAUUUAGAAUAUUUAAAAUUUUUAGAAAUAAAUUUUUAUAUUUUUUCGACAUAGUUUACUUUAUUAUCAAACUAUUUAAAAAUUGUCAAUUUUCAAUGACUACUACGGCGAGUUUGGAGUUUAACGGUAUAGAAGAAUCUAAAUUUCUUCAAAUUUUGAUAGAAAAUACUUUAAACUAUCUAGAUUAAGGUUAACAUUCUUGAUCUUAAAUUUAAAAGUUCUAUACUCAAAUUUUAAAAAUUAUUCAAUUUCCACCGUCCAUUUUGAUAUAAUUUAUUUACUAAAUAAACUAUAUCGUAUUUAACGGUGUGGAUCAUUAAUUUGAACACCCUAAAAUUGAAAACAAGACUAUAGUAUCGAAACUCUGCUACUAUUUUUCUGAAAUUUAACUCAAUUUUCAAACCACAGAAUUAAUAUCACCGCACUCGCAAAAUUUAUUUUUUCU
rnacentral:lncRNA from 1 species